AUUAAUGGCAAAGUGGUCUAAAUCUGACGAUUCUGAUGGCAUAUCUCACCUUGACCAAUCUGACUCAAUACAGUUGGAUAAUCAAUCGCUUCUUUCUUCUUGCAAAUCUUUAACAAGAAUUCAGCAGAAGUUGAAAUACACUGUUGCAGCGCUUGUCAUACUAUAUAUAAUUGUUCUAAGCUUCCUUCUGGUUUAUGUUGGUUUAAAUGCUCAAACACCUAUCCAUGGAAAA